GUCUUUGGUCUUACUGCUCUGAUUGCACCUGAUCUGGUGUGAUUUCUGGAGCUAAGCAGGGUUGUGCCUGAUUAGUACUUGGAUGGGAGAUUGCCUGGGAAUACUGAGUGCUAUAGGUA
rnacentral:rRNA from 1 species